rnacentral:rRNA from 1 species
CCUACGGGAGGCAGCAGUGAGGAAUAUUGGUCAAUGGACGAGAGUCUGAACCAGCCAAGUAGCGUGAAGGAUGACUGCCCUAUGGGUUGUAAACUUCUUUUAUAUGGGAAUAAAAUGUUCCACGUGUGGGAUUUUGUAUGUACCAUAUGCAUAAGGAUCGGCUAACUCCGUGCCAGCAGCCGCGGUACUACGGAGGAUCCGAGCGUUAUCCGGAUUUAUUGGGUUUAAAGGGAGCGUAGGUGGAUUGUUAAGUCAGUUGUGAAAGUUUGCGGCUCAACCGUAAAAUUGCAGUUGAAACUGGCAGUCUUGAGUACAGUAGAGGUGGGCAGAAUUCGUGGUGUAGCGGUGAAAUGCUUAGAUAUCACGAAGAACUCCGAUUGCGAAGGCAGUUCACUGGACUGCAACUGACACUGAGGCUCGAAAGUGUGGGUAUCAAACAGGAUUAGAUACCCCUGUAGUC